rnacentral:rRNA from 1 species
CGCGGCGACGUGGGCGGUUCGCUGCCCGCGACGUCNCGAGAAGUCCACUGAACCUUAUCAUUUAGAGGAAGGAGAAGUCGUAACAAGGUUUCCGUAGGKGAACCUGCGGAAGGAUCAU